rnacentral:rRNA from 1 species
UUGCCCGAAUCCUGACACAGGGAGGUAGUGACAAGAAAUAACAAUACAGGGCUACUUCUAGUCUUGUAAUUGGAAUGAGUACAACUUACAUCCCUUCACGAGGAUCAACUGGAGGGCAAGUCUGGUGCCAGCAGCCGCGGUAAUUCCAGCUCCAGAAGCGUAUAUUAAAGUUGUUGCAGUUAAAACGCUCGUAGUAGGGUUUCGGGUCGGGCCGAGCGGUCUGCCGAUGGGUAUGCACUGUUUGGCGCGGCCUUCUUUCCGGAGACCGCGGCUACUCUUAACUGAGCGGGCGUGGGAGACGGAUCGUUUACUUUGAAAAAAUCAGAGUGUUUCAAGCAGGCAGCUCGCUCUUGCAUGGUACAGCAUGGGAUGAUUGAAUAGGACUCCGGUGCUAUUUUGUUGGUUUCGAACACCAGGAGUAAUGAUUAACAGGGACAGUCAGGGGCACUCGUAUUCCGUCGAGAGAGGUGAAAUUCUCAGACCAAUGGAAGACGAACCACUGCGAAAGCAUUUGCCAGGGAUGUUUUCACUGAUCAAGAACGAAAGUUAGGGGAUCGAAGACGAUCAGAUACCGUCGUAGUCUUAACCAUAAACCAUGCCGACUAGGGAUUGGAGGGUGUUCGUUUCGACCUCUUCAGCACCUUACGGGAAACUAAAGUCUUUGGGUUCCGGGGGGAGUAUGGUCGCAAGGCUGAAGCUUAAAGGAAUUGAC